rnacentral:rRNA from 1 species
CCCUUAGAUGUUCUGGGCUGCACGCGCGCUACACUGAAGCGUUCAACGAGUUUCUUCCUGGUCCGAGAGGAAUGGGUAACCUUUUGAAAGUGCAUCGUGAUAGGGAUAGACUAUUGCAAUUAUUGGUCUUCAACGAGGAAUUCCUAGUAGACGUAGUUCAUCAGACUGCAUCGAUUACGUCCCUGCCCUUUGUACACACCGCCCGUCGCUCCUACCGAUUGAAUGCUCAGGUGAGCCAUUCGGACUUUCAUCAUGCUGGUUUCCAGUUUUGAUGAAGGAAAGUCUUGCGAACCUUAUCAUUUAGAGGAAGGAGAAGUCGUAACA